ACGACUGGAAUCACACAUACACUGCCACAAGAGGUCUGCAGUGAAGGUCCCAAAGUCCCAGACAGAUCUUUCUGCUGAUGCAGCUGUUAAGAGUGUUUCAUAAACUGUGACAACACUGAGCAAAAUCAUAGAAGGAAACUCUAUGGACAAUUUCAGAUGGAGAAGAAGAAAGGACUGGAAGUUCAAUUUGGCCAUGACAAUUAGCUCCUAAGACUUGGAGUACUUUGUUACACAGCAGUAAAUAACUAAUACAGUGAUGUUUGAACAAAGACUUGAAGAAGCUGAGUGAGAAGGCCAUGCAGAUAUCUUGGAGAAGUGCAUUCCAGGCAGAGGAAAAGCCAGUGCAGAGACACUGAAGCAGGGCAUGACUGAUGUGUAUAAGGAGCAUCAUAUACAUGAUCAUCUACAGUCCACUGAGAAUAGCAGACGAAAGGCCAGGUGCAGUGCAUGUAAUCCCAGCACUUUGGGAGACUGAGAUGGGAAGAUCGCUUGAGGCCAGGAGUGCAAGACCAGCCUGGGCAACACAGCAAGACCUUGACUCUACUAAAAAAAAAAAAGGAUCCUUCAACUUCAACAAUAAUAACACGAGGGAAGUGAAGAAAAACACUUUCUAAGGAAAUCUCUCUCUGAGCUACCAUCCUGCUAGGGAGAGCCUGAAAGCAGAAUGCUGACUUGACUAGCUCUGGUCAAUGAAAGAAAUCACUAGUGGAAAGGCUACCAGGGGGCUUUCUCAAAAGAGAGGGACAGU
rnacentral:antisense_RNA from 1 species